AUUUUCCAGUAAAAUUGCUGAAUUAGGCACUACGAAAUGUUCGCGUUAAUGAAAAAGUCUUAACGCUGUCGAAUCUCCGUAUGAAGUAUCGCCAUUUUAGACGAGUCAGAUCUUUUGCGAUAAAAACGUUUCAUGUUUUUCUUGAAACGGUCGCCAGUUAAGACGAUCGGACAACUUUAGCUUACGAUAGUAUAACAUCGUUGGUCGCGAGAAAGAAGAGACUAAAUCAAUUCUGCAAUACAAACAAAUUUAACGUUAAAAAUGCAUACACAUUUACAAAAACUAAUACGCUAAUUUUUAAUGUACCUUCAUCAGUGCAAUUUACGGGAAACAAUUACAUUAGUCCAAGUUAUAAAAAAAAAUCGAUUCUUCUUCGUUAUUUAUUUAUUCGUAUAGUUGUUUGAUGAACCCCCUUACUCACUGUAUAGUCGUACUCAUAACUCGAUUAAUAUUUUGAUGAGAAUAUGCAAUAUAUUAUAAUACAGCUCUUUGAAGAACGUUCAUAUAACGGCAAUUGAGUAGCAUUUUAGUAAAGUUCUUCCGUCUGAUUACAUUUUGCGAAUAUCGCCAAUUUACGAACACUUAAUAUUCUAUCAUGUUC